GGUUAAUACUUUGAUCGUCCUGCAAUACAGUCAAGGAACAAAGAUGUCAAAAAUAAUUUUAUUAUUAUUAUUAUCAAUUUUCUUAGCCAUUGCCAUCUAUACUAGUGAAGUUGAAGGAUGUGCAGGUGAUUGGUGUCACCCCUUGCAAGGUUAUGACUGUUGCGCGGGUCAUGAAUGUUCCGACUAUUGGUUCCAAGGUAAAUGCUUAACUGAUGAGGAUGCUGGUCAACAAGCGGCUUACUUAGCUCUAUUUUAUGGAAAAAAUGAUUAUAUAUGAUUCAAUAAAAAUAUACCAGACGUAACAAGUUGAUUCGGCCAAACACACCCAUUAUAAGAUUUUUCUUUCCAAAUUUAUAACUUCUAUUUUUUUUAACUUCCCGCUAAGAAAAUUGCAAAUUUUCAAAAAUUCGGGAAGUUAUGAGUUUCGGUCCGAUUUUCGAAAAUCGAAUUUCUAACAAAUCUUGACGUUUUGAAGUACUGGAAAGCUAUUCUGACUAAUUUUAAGAUGAUCUCCAAGUGUAUGUAUCUAUCUAUGUAUGAGUGAAAUAAAAAAAAUGCUGUUUAA